GCCGGGCACGGUGGUGCACUCCUGUAAUCCCAGCAGCUCGGGAGGCUGAGGCUGGAGGAUCGCGUGUGUUCCAAACCAGCCUCAGCCAUAGCAAGGCACUAAGCAACUCAGUGAGACCCUGUCUCUA
rnacentral:sRNA from 1 species